AGAGUUUGAUCCUGGCUCAAACGAACGCUGGCGGCGUGCUUAACACAUGCAAGUCGAGUGCGCGCCUGUAGCAAUACAGGUGGCGCACGGCGCACGGGUGCGUAACACGUGGGCAAUCUGCCCUUCGAUGGGGAAUAACCUCGCGAAAGCGAGGCUAAUUCCGCAUGACAUUCCUUGGACCCUGGUUCGAGGACUCAAAGCCGUAAGGCGUCGAAGGAGGAGCCCGCGCCCGAUUAGCUAGUUGGCGAGGUAACGGCUCACCAAGGCAAUGAUCGGUAGCUGGUCUGAGAGGAUGGCCAGCCACACUGGAACUGAGACACGGUCCAGACUCCUACGGGAGGCAGCAGUGGGGAAUCUUGCACAAUGGGCGAAAGCCUGAUGCAGCGACGCCGCGUGGGGGAUGAAGCAUUUCGGUGUGUAAACCCCUUUCGACCGGGAAGAAUGCCUCGCAAGAGGAGUGACGGUACCGGUAUAAGAAGCCCCGGCUAACUACGUGCCAGCAGCCGCGGUAAGACGUGGGGGGCCAGCGUUGUUCGGAAUUACUGGGUGUAAAGGGUUCGUAGGCGGUGUGGCAAGUCGGGAGUGAAAUCUAUGGGCUUAACCCAUAGGCUGCUUCCGAAACUGCUGUGCUUGAGUGUGGGAGAGGCGCGUGGAAUUGCAGGUGUAGCGGUGAAAUGCG
rnacentral:rRNA from 1 species